rnacentral:misc_RNA from 1 species
CUGCCUCUGAACAAACAAGGAGGGGGAGGGGCGCGCACACGCACACGCAGAGUGCAGGUCGCCCACGCCCCUCAAGCGCAGAGCACAGAACCGGCAACAUCGGCAAAGCAGCACCUCAUUUCCCCGCCUCUCUAUCUACAUUAUAUAUAUAUAUAUACACCUAUAUCUACAUGUAUAGACACGUUCAGGCUUGCUCCCCCCUCUUCGCCUCCAGUAGCGGCGCCGCGUCUCUCAUCUCCUUCCUUGUCUUUCUAGCGACUGCGAGUGCUUGACAGCAUUCUUCGCCUCCUCCCCUCUCUCCCUUGCCGUGCACGGCGCUUAGCAUCUUUCUUUAUCUCUUGUGCUUGCGUGAUUGCUCGUACUGAGCAACACAAUAUUCUUCUCUGUCUUUGAGUGCCGAUACGCCGUGUUGCUUCUCUUUUCGAGUUCGCGCCUACCUACGCUUGUCUGUCUGUGUGCACGAGUGCUGGCGUAUUUCAUUUUUUUUUUUCUCCGGGAGGGAGGGAAGUGGGGUAAGCAACUUGCGAGCUGAGAAGCGAAGCAAGGCAGCGGCGGGAGGGCCUUUAUCUCGGCACUUCGUGCGCCUAAACGCCGCACCUCUUGUGCCGCUGCUGUUGGCGCCACCUUGUGUCUCUCACAGACCCGCUCUGUCUUCAUCCUCUCCUCCGCUGUUCAGCGCGUGCAUGUGUGUCUGAGUCCGUCUCUAGCUCGCUCCGCUUCGGUUUGUUUCUUCUUUCUGAGGUCGCUCGCCACCCCGCGACUCGCCGUCGAUCCCCUCUCCCCCUCCCCCACUUCCCUCUCUCUCCCCUGCACAGCUGUGGCUUAUGCUGAGCGUGGUGCUCACGCUGACUGACUGCACACGCGCAGAACCUGAGCGGAGACAGACACGAGCAUUAUGCACCACGUGCGCAGCCGCAGAACUACGAAGCACAAUUUAAAACAACACAACACACAUGCACACAGAGACACGGGCACUGACACGUAUUUUAUUUCCUUUCCCUGCUUACCUCGGCGCGCUGCUUUUGCCUCGCUGCAGCAAUUUUCGGAUUCUUCUCUGGGGUCGUCGUCCACGCAGACUCCUUGUCUGUCUGUCCCUCUCUCUAUGUGCGUGUACGCACCAAGAUCGACGCGCAGCCCACACAUUGAAGCACAAGUGCAGAGUUUCAACACGGGUCAGGUGAGACGCUGCAAUGGCUCCUGCCACAGCCAGUGCAAUUCUCGCCAGGGCCGGUCAUGAGCCCCCGGUGAGCGCGAGGGAGGUGUGGAAGACGACCGCGAUGAAGUACGUCUACCGCUUCGUGCCCGUCUCGCGGUGGCACCGCCUCCUGACCCCAAAGAUCAUCCUCAGUGACGGCAUCGCCGGCUUCAUCGUUGGCGUCAUGAUUGUGCCGACAUGCCUUUCGUGGUCCAGUCUGGCCGGUCUGCCGUUCUCGUGCGGUCUCAUCGCGGCCCUCGUUGCCUCCUUCUCGUACGGCACGUUUGGCCAGUGCGCGUCGCUGUCGAUCGGGCCGGUGGCGGAGAUCACGACGCUGCUCAUUUCUAUCCCGGGCAUCCCGCUCGCGGAGCGCAAGGACACAUUCCAGAGCCUCGGUGUGCAGGUGGGCAUUGUGAGCAUGGUGCUUAGCUUUGUGGACUGCGGCACUGUCAUAAAGACGAUCUUCGCGAAGGCCGUCGGCGACGGCUACACGUGCGCCGCGGCGCUGCUGGCCAUCUCGGCCCAGCUGAAGGUGAUGUUCAAUGUCGUGCCAGAGGACAAGGGCUACGGAAAUUUCAUCAACACCCUCAUCACGCUCGGGACUCGGAUGUCCGCGAAGAGCCUCUACUGCUUUGUGAUCUUUAUGGUGUACUGCACAUACCUGAUCCAGAUCAAGAAAGCCGGACUGCCCCUCUGGAUCCCACACCAGCUCAUCGUCGUCGUCGUUUCCACACUUGUGACGUGGGGCUUCCGGCUGGACCAGCUCCUGGACCUGGCGAUCGUGCGCGACAUUCCGGCCGUCCUGAGCUGGCCGCGCUUUCCACCAAUGAACAAUCUCAUCGGGCUGGGGCCGUACACGCUGACCAUCACCGUGAUCAUCUUCGUGCAGAUGUACGUGGUGGCGCAGCGGGUGAUGCCAAAUAUUGACCCCAACACAGAGCUCUUCGCUGGCGGCAUCACCAACCUGCUUGUGAACCUCAUGUCUGGCAUGCCGGUGUCGAACUCGUUUAGCUGUUCCUCUGUGCUGAUUGAGCAGAAAGUGCACACGCCGCUGACUGCCUACGCGACCGGCGCGGUCGUGCUAAUCACAGUUCUGUUCCUCACCAGGCUUGGUGUCUUCUACUACCUCCCGAAGCAGGCGCUGGCCGCGAUCGUCGUCUCGAGUGUGUGGCGCCUCGUGAACUUUUCGGGGCCGGUGCAGCUGUGGCGCUACAGCCGUAAGGACGCCGGCGUGUGGGUGCUGACGUUUCUGCUGACCCUGAUCGGCGGCAUUACAAUCGGUGUGCUGAGUGGAAUUGCGUUCUCUCUCAUCUUGGUGGUGCUUCGCAUUGCCCGGCCGCGCGCGGUGAGCGUUGGAUUUAACAUGCAGACGUUCCGCUACGGAGACAUCCGCAAGGACCCGGAGCUGCUCGUGUACCCGAACAUCCUGAUGUGGCGCUUCGACGCCCCUCUGUAUUUCAUCAACAUCGGCUACUUCCAGGAGCGUCUCAUCGCUGCCAUCGCCGCGGAAGUGCGCCCCAUCGACGUUGUUAUAGUCACCUGUGGAAAAGUGGUCGACAUCGACGCGGCGGCGCUGGCGUCACUGCCUUUCAUCCUCGACUACACCUCGAAGUCUGACCCGACUCGACCACGGCGCAUCAUCCUGACGGAUAUCCACGGACGGCUGGAGAAGGUUCUCCUCGCCUCGGCAGCACUGCCUAUCUACGUGCCGGAGGAGUACGACCGCAUCUCGAUCGAGCAGAUCACGGCCUCUGGUAAGUUUCCUGUCGUCUUCAAGAAGCUGGAGGAGGCGAUCGCAUUUGGGCAACGGUGCAUAUCGGAGCGCUAUGGCAAUGUGGACACCGCACCGUACCCCAACGUGUCCUUCUUGACAGACGUCGUGAUGGAGGCGGCACGGCUGCCGACAGGGGACGGCUGCGUGCCGUCCUUCCUAUCGCUGUUGGAGGCGGAGAACGCCACCCCAGCCGCGGCGGGCGGCACCACAGCAGCAGCGGCAGCGCCGUUGAGCUCGAACUCACCACACAUUGUGGUGACAGCGCCCGGCGAGGCAUCGCGUGGGCCCAGCCGAGCGGAGGGUGCGCAAGGCAAGACAGCGCGCGCCGAGGCCUCCAUUUCCUCACCGCGGCUGCCACGCAACAGCGCCACGACCUCCGCGGAUUUACCGAGGCCGAGCGUGGACGAUGACGACGACGACGACGUCGACGAUGGAGACCCACCACAGCAGCAGCAGGACAGCCUUGUGCGUCACCUUGCCACGCUAAAGAAGCUCUCCACAUACUCGCCCGAUCGCGAGCUUGUCGGCGUGCUUGGUGUCAUUCGCCAUGGCGAGGUGACGCCGAAACAGAAGAAGAAGCUGCUCUUCAGCGACCCGACUCUGCUGCGGCUAGCAUUCCAAGGGCGCGACGUGCGCCGGACGAAGCGCAGCGUCGAUGAGCUGACGGAGUUCUUUGCGGUGGUGGAGCGGCUGCUCUUGGAGACGCCAGCCUCAAAUAUGAGCUCUGCGGGGUCCGCGGACAUGCUGGAUGCUUCGUUCCUUGGCACUACCAGCCCCUUGACAGGCCGAAUCUCCGCAUCCACGGCAGAGAGCUGGGCGCGCGUCUUGUCCAUUGUCCGAAGCCGCCCGGAUGGGCUCAAGAUCCAGGUCAAGGCGCGUGUGACGUCCACCUCGGGUACCGUUUCGUUUGCCGAGAGCGAGCGGACCUCCCCUCAGAGGCACGUACACUACGGCGGUAGUGCAUGGUGGAAAGUCGGCGGCAGCGCACCGAGUCGCCAUAGCAGCGGAAGCGGUAGCGCUGACGAGGAGUGGGGCGAGCCGGCGGUGGGCCUUCUCGUGGUGAAGUGGGGCGGUGUACUGACCAAGUCCGGGAUCUUGCAGGCGCAUGUGAUGGGCGAGAAGUUGUUUGCACGCUUCUACGCAGCAGGAGACCUGCCACUGCGUCGCCUAGUUCAGUUCACGCGUCACCCGCUAGUGACGGCGUCCGACGAGAACCGGGUGGUGAACACGGCGCUUGUCGUGGCCAAUGCCCUCACGCAGACCUCUGGCGCCACUCUGCACCGCUGCGACAUUGUGCUCAAUGAUGGCCUCACCAAGACGCUGGGGCCAGUUGCGAAGCGUCUCCUCCAGGAGGAGUACCGAUACUUCGAGUCGCUGCUCCACAUCGAGUCCGCCGCAGCGGCACGGCAUUUCUUUCACAUCCCAGGCUUCCGCCAGCUACUGUCCAUCCCGCCGCGAGAUAGCCUUCGUGGCUGGGUGGGCAGCGAGCAUGACGACGGCCAUGCUGACAGUGACGGGAGCGACAACGGGGCGGCGCACAUGUUCAGCCAGACGGUCAGCAAGAACUCUGAGAACGACAAGGCACCGGAGAUGAGCGGUCGUCCUCCGCCGUCUUCGUGCCGCCGCAGCAAACGGACUGCAUGUGAAGGAAAUCCGCGCAGCACUCAGUUUAACGGCGCACAGGAUGUCACGCACGGCAGCCGUGCCUUUUUGAUGCCGGAGCAGCAGCAGCAGCAGCAAAACUACAACUGCCAUCGGCAGGACGAGUUCUACACCCCGUAUCAGGUUCUGCAGGAGCUGGAAGAGCUCAUGACGAUCUUGUCCACGCUGGAGUUUCCGGUACACCUCGCCAAGGUGCCACUGAGCAACCACGAGACGCUGCAGGAGCUGCAGCGUCGCUACGAGGCGAUGCUGAAAAACUUCGAGGGUGCUAAGCGCCGGAUUCGAAGCAGCUAUAAGCACUCCGUGCAUAUGAUGAGCUCUGGUGCAUCCCAGACACCCGCCUCGCCGGGGGCGAGGAACUUGAGGCCGGCGGGGCCAGCAGGACUCGAUGAGGACCCGGAGCAGCAGAUGCUUCUGGAGGCGAUGGAGGAGACCGGUGGCUCGUCCGACGAGGACGGGUUCGAUGCACAGCUGGUGGGGGACACUGAACUGGAUCCCGACUUGCCGCCGCGGCGCGACCCCUCAGCGGCUGGUGGGUCGCUGGCAACAGCGAGGCCGUCGCAUCUCACGAUGCCCACCUCGAGCAGUGGACGCCCAGUUGAACCCGGGCAAGGCCGGGGCAAUCACAGCCGCUGCCCUGUGCCCGCGCAGCAGCGAACAACGAGCGGCAGCGGCAACGGCGGCCAGACGCAGCCGAGGCUGCUUCAUGCGGGUUCUGGGCCCUUCCACACUCCUGGGCACGACCGUGGUCGCGGGAGUAAUGGCCGCGGCCCACCAGGCGCUGCCACGCGCUUCGAUGUGAGCGACGUGUCGAAGCUGCGAGACUAUGGCUCCUACGACGUGGCGUACAAUCUUCCUCUUGUGCUACAGCUGCACGCGUCUGUGCAGGAGCCGGCAGCGGCGUUUCAGCUGCGCCGCUUCGCUCGUGCCCUGCAGCGCUUCUCUGAGAUCACCGAGUACCUGUCGCGCAUCGGCGAGAAUGUGCUGGUUGGGAUCAACAGCAGCAAGCGCUUUAUUAUCGGCUCGCUGGUCAGUGAUGGGCUGCUGCGGCGGCUGCACAACGACUUCCAGGACUUGGCCAUGGCUGAUGAGGAGCGCGGCGCGCAAGAGCUGCUGCUCAAGGCGCAGGCGCAGUACAUGGCGGAGAACGGCGGCGUCGAGCACGAUGUGCGCUACAUGAUUGGCCUGUGUUCGCGUCUCCCGUGCUGGCCAAAGAAGAAGAGGAGUAGGGCGGACGAACAUGGCGGGUCUGCCUGGAGAAACGACAUCUGGGCGCGAGAGACGCCGCAGGAGCGCGAGUUUAGGCUUCGCGUUCCCUUCAUCUCUCUCCCUAGGCAAGAGGCGUGGACGCGUGCCGCGGCAGCCGACUUCGAGAGGUGCACACGUCUGUACUUCACCUCUUAUCUCCACGUCGAAGGCGUGCUGCAGUGCCUCUUCGAGAGCGCCACAGUCGAGGGCUUCAGCCGACCCAGCAAAGAGGAGAUGGAGGCGACCCACCAGCUCUACAUGCGCCACCUCAUCUUCAAGAUUUUCCGUCGCCGCAACGUGAGCUAUACCGACGCGGAGGUGGCGGCAGCUAUGCGUCGUCUGCACUUACUCUUCCGCUCAGAUGUGGACUACGACAAGCAGCAGCGCGAGCUGCGCCUCGGACUCGCCGCCAUCUACCACGCAAUGUACUACGUCUCGAUGGAGGUUUAUCUCUCUCUCGGGGACGCCGAUGAGGCGCAGGCGACCAUCGUAGAGGACUUCCCGCUCUUCCACCUGGGCCGCGCUGGUGGCGGUGAUGAGGACGGUGACAGCCCAAGUGCAGCCGGCACAGCAGCCAACACAGCAGCCGGCGGCGGAAACAGCGAGGACGGAGAAGAGCUGGUGGAGACAAUGGCGCCGACUGGCGCGCCGUCGGCGGCUGGCGGCGGCACGGGGCUAACGGUGACAGACCCUUCGAGCCCACUUAUACUCUCCUUCGCGCCGAGCGGUCGCACCAGCUGUGUCAGCAGCGAUCCGGCGUCGUACUUCACCACUGCGGGCGGCAGAAACGCAGCUGCUUUUUCGACUGCAUCUGGCGGAAAGUCCGCGGAGACGCUCGCCGGCUUCGCUCGCAGCCCCUUGUACGUGCAGCAUCUUGUCCCCGUGUCCAACGAACCGGACACGACGGUGACAUCCGCCGCGGAUGGCAGCGGCUCGGCGGCAUUGGUGACAUCGCCGCUCUCACCCUCUGACGCACCUGGGCAGGCCGCCGCCGGCAGCGGGGUAGAGUCGGACUCUGGUGAAGACGGAACACGAAACCACAUGCACAGACGCGUCACCAACGCGUCGACGCUUGCUCUAGCACCGCCGCCGCAGCGCGAGCCGAAGACGCGAUCUCGAUCCAUGACGGCGGUGCCGACAAACACAAAGGACCCGGUCAAGGAGGCAACAGUUCUCAUGACGCCAGAGGCCGGGCGUCGGACGGCAAUGGUGCAAGAGAUGAAGCACCGCGUCUCGAACGUGACACCGAUGCGGCGCAUUCACGAGGGGUUGAGCCUGAACGACUUUGUGCUCCUCGUGAAGGAGGUGGAGAGCGCCGUACGCUCACAGACAGCCUCGUCUUCCUCGGCACAUUAGACGUGCAUGCAUAUGCGUGUUGUGGCUGGUUGUUCGCCGACGUGCAAAGGCGAGAGCGAAGGCGCAGGUCAGGAGGGAGGGCGACUAAGGUCUGUGCCGUGUUCGGGUCAUGUCGUUGUGGCGCAUGCGCGUCUUCUGCAGGAAAGCUUCUCGCGUUUGUGCUCGAUGAGUGCUUGCGUAGGGCGACCGCAUCGUCUCCAGUGCGUGCGUGCGUGUGAAUGUGUGAGGGGGGAAGUCGCAGCCUCCGCAGAGAAACGAACGCUGAGCCCUAGCCGACACGCCGCGGUGACAUCCAAGAUGGACGGAGCAGGGUGGACAGCGGCAUUCCCGAUAUCAGUUUGGUACACGACAACGGCACUCGUGGGCUCAAAACCACCUAAUACACUCUCGAGCGGCUCUGAGGUGGCUUCCAUCGAGUAGACGAACACACAGCUCAGAGCUCAAGGGCGAUGAUGAUUCUCGUCAUCUUCAUGGUCGGGCCCACCUUACGCGUUUGGUACAGACGCCUACUGGGUGAGCCUUGCACGGGUGCAAGCCACGCGCGCCCGUGGCUUGGGAGAUGAGGCGUUGGUGCGCGAACUGUCAAAGUCGCGCGGGGGCCGUCUCCACACGAAAAUAAAAACGAAAAACAAAAGCAAAACAAGGCCGUCUGCAUGCGUGAUGCUUGACAAGAAGCCACCACGUGCGUGUGCCUGAUCAGCUGCUCAGUUUACACCAACACCACCCACGCGGUUGCCGGCUCCUCUUUGCCCUCCCCCCGCGCGUCUCGCUGUCUCGCAGCUCUUUCUUGGUGGGCUGCACUCGCCUUUCCUCCUCUUCGGCGUGCACCACAACAAAACACGUCGUUUUCUCCCUGCUUCAUUCCCCCAACCCUACUCGCAG